rnacentral:rRNA from 1 species
GACGAACGCUGGCGGCGUGCUUAACACAUGCAAGUCGAACGCUGAAGCCCUUCGGGGUGGAUGAGUGGCGUACGGGUGAGUAACACGUGGGUAAUCUGCCCUGCACUCUGGGAUAAGCCUUGGAAACGGGGUCUAAUACCGGAUAGGACACAUCGCCGCAUGGUGUGUGUGUGGAAAGUUCCGGCGGUGCAGGUUGAGCCCGCGGCCUAUCAGCUUGUUGGUGGGGUGAUGGCCUACCAAGGCGACGACGGGUAGCCGGCCUGAGAGGGUGACCGGCCACACUGGGACUGAGACGCGGCCCAGACUCCUACGGGAGGCAGCAGUGGGGAAUCUUGCGCAAUGGGCGAAAGCCUGACGCAGCAACGCCGCGUGGGGGAUGACGGCCUUCGGGUUGUAAACCUCUUUCGACCGGGACGAAGGAUUCGUUUGACGGUACCGGUAGAAGAAGCACCGGCUAACUACGUGCCAGCAGCCGCCGUAA